rnacentral:misc_RNA from 1 species
GAUGAAGAACGUAGCGAAAUGCGAUAAGUAGUGUGAAUUGCAGAAUUCAGUGAAUCAUCGAAUCUUUGAACGCACAUUGCGCCCCUUGGUAUUCCAUGGGGCAUGCCUGUUCGAGCGUCAUUUGUACCUUCAAGCUUUGCUUGGUGUUGGGUGCUUGUCCCUCGGGACUCGCCUUAAAGUCAUUGGCAGCCAGUGUUUUGGUUUUGAAGCGCAGCACAAGUCGCGAUUCAAGGCUAUCCGCCCGCUUCCACAAGCCUUUUUCACUUUUGACCUCGGAUCAGGUAGGGAUACCCGCUGAACUUAAGCAUAUCAAUAAGCGGAGGA